rnacentral:lncRNA from 13 species
UGCCUCUGCCUGUCUUUCACACACAUUAUCCUUAUGCCUCUGCCUGUCUUUCACACACAUUAUCCUUAUGCCUCUGCCUGUCUUUCACACACGGGCUCUUUCCGUCUCCCACAGGGAACAAAACAAGGUUGCACUCUGGUAAAUGCUCUAAACGUUUUGACUCUAUCUGAGUCUGUGUCAGGACAUCUUUCUAUCCCUCACACACUAUUUCUAUGGCUGUAUUUGGCUUCUCCCACGCACACACACUGUUUCUCUGUAGGACUCCGUCUGUCUCUGUUUCUCUCCACCUACAGAUGUAGGAUCUUCAUUUAAGCCAGGCUGCUACAGCACAAAAAGAAUCCUGCAGCAACAGCAAAUGUGAAUUAUUAUGUGGAAUAUAAUACAUUGACAUAUAAUACAUUCUGGAAAAUUCUCAGAAAGAAUGGUCCAAUUAAGAUCCUACAUCUGUAUGCUUGCUGCCUCUGGGGUAUAUGUACAGUACAGGUUGAACUCUCUCUCUCUCUCUCUCCCUCUCGCUCUCUCUCGCUCUCUCUCCCCUCACCCUCUCUCUCUGNNNNNNNNNNCCUGCCUCACACAGAGGGUCAGAGAUAGCUCGUGUUCCUUCCUGCCUCACACAGACGGACAGAGAUAGCUCGUGUUCCCUUCCUGCCUCACACAGACGGACAGAGAUAGCUCGUGUUCCCUUCCUGCCUCACGCAGAGGGUCAGAGAUAGCUCGUGUUCCCUUCCUGCCUCACACAGACGGACAGAGAUAGCUCGUGUUCCCUUCCUGCCUCACACAGAGGGACAGAGAUAGCUCGUGUUCCCUUCCUGCCUCACACAGAGGGACAGAGAUACAGGGAGAUCCUGUUUCCUUUGAGUCCCUCUCUCCUCUCGCCCGCGUGAGUCAUUUUGUGUGGGGUGGAGACAAAGAAUACAGUCAGCUCGAGCGCACACUGCACAUAGACUUGAAUUGUUUUGUGAGACAUUUGAUCUAACAAACAGGCAUAUUGUGUGUGUGUGCUUGUGUGUGUGUGUACACCUCAGCAGGGGGGACUCCGGGGCAGGGCAGGGUGUUGUGUUGAUGUCAUGUGUUUUCUGCCUCCCAGUGCGUCCCCCUGGACAGCUGGUAAAGUGACAGAGAAUACUAUAGAGAGUUCAGGACAACAGGCUGCAGCAGCACAGCAGGCUAAUGACUGAAUACUGCUCACACGGCUACAGGGCCAGUCUCACAGCUACCUAUGUCUUGGUCUCGGCUCUCCUCAGCUGGAAUAUCACUUUAUCGCAUUGAUGGGGGAAGUAGUGAGGGGAUGACAACACACACAGUGCCAUCACCUAGGCAUUGCUGCACACGUGUGUAUGCGCGUACGCACGCACACACACACAAUCUCACACCUCCUCGAGUACACAUCUAUGACGAAAAAAGAGGAUAAAAUAUGACAGAAGCUGAGAGAGUUUGCCAGGCAGGGAGAGGCUGAGAGGAGGGCACACUUGAGAGAGAAAAAAGCAAGCGGGAACAAAGGAGAAAGGCACACAGGGAAAUGAAAGGAGCGAGAGAACGGAGGAGAGGAGAAGGGACGGGAGAUGGAGAGGCAGGGCUGCACACACUCAAAGGGCCCUGGAUGAGGUCAUCUUUAUUAAUAUCCCCAAUAACAACAAACAUCCCAACUCUCCAUCCAUCCCUCUCUCUCUUACUCUCUCUCUCCCUCCCUCCCUCAUCCUCCCCUCUCCGGCUGCUCCUUGAGCUCCUUGAGAGAUGGUGAGGCCUUCUCUGACGCAAUGGGAGGCCUGGUUGAGUACAGGGCUGCGGGCAAACACACACACACACACACACACACAGACACAAACACAGGCAGAGAGUGCUGCAGAGCGAGCAGCCAGCCCAGCCGGGAGCUGUGUGGAGGUGAUCUGUCAGAGGGUAACGGUGCGGAGCGGU